rnacentral:rRNA from 2 species
CGGACCUCAGAUCGGGCAAGACCACCCGCUGAGUUU